AUUGAACGCUGGCGGCAUGCUUUACACAUGCAAGUCGAACGGUAACAGGGUGCUUGCACCGCUGACGAGUGGCGAACGGGUGAGUAAUGCGUCGGAACGUGCCGAGUAGUGGGGGAUAACGCAGCGAAAGCUGUGCUAAUACCGCAUACGUACUGAGGUAGAAAGUGGGGGGCCUUCGGGCCUCACGCUAUUCGAGCGGCCGACGUCUGAUUAGCUAGUAGGUGAGGUAAAGGCUCACCUAGGCGACGAUCAGUAGCGGGUCUGAGAGGAUGAUCCGCCACACUGGGACUGAGACACGGACCAGACUCCUACGGGAGGCAGCAGUGGGGAAUUUUGGACAAUGGGCGAAAGCCUGAUCCAGCCAUGCCGCGUGUCUGAAGAAGGCCUUCGGGUUGUAAAGGACUUUUGUCAGGGAGGAAAUCCCUAGUGCUAAUAACACUGGGGGAUGACAGUACCUGAAGAAUAAGCACCGGCUAACUACGUGCCAGCCGCCGCAGUAA
rnacentral:rRNA from 1 species